UACGGAGGGUGCAAGCGUUAUCCGGAUUCACUGGGUUUAAAGGGUGCGUAGGCGGGCUUUUAAGUCAGUGGUGAAAUCUCCGAGCUCAACUUGGAAACUGCCAUUGAUACUAUUAGUCUUGAAUUCUGUUGAGGUAGGCGGAAUAAGUCAUGUAGCGGUGAAAUGCUUAGAUAUGACUUAGAACACCAAUUGCGAAGGCAGCUUACUAAACAGAUAUUGACGCUGAGGCACGAAAGCGUGGGGAUCAAACAGG
rnacentral:rRNA from 1 species